CCCUCAGAACUCAAUAAACAUGCCAUUCAAGUAAUAGGUUUACAAUAAGGAUUCCUGAAUUUAGAAGACCAAAGAAACUGCUGCCCUUCCUAUAAUCACAGGGACUGUUUCAAAGAAACAGCAAUGCAGCCUUUGGCACAAGACUUUCUUCAUUGGUGGAGGAUGAUUAAUCAAUGCACCUCAUUUGACCAGGGAUCAGCACUUGGGAAGAAAAGGUCUUGGUCUUCUAAGAACCAGCUUUGAGAGAGAAGACACACAGUUCCAGAUUCUCUUGAUUUCAAAGGUGAUCUAUAUAUGCCCCAAAGUCCUGUUACAACUGUGUUGUAGUUCUUCAUAUUGAAAAUAUUGUAAAUGUUGUUUGGAUCUGCUUUUCUGAUGGGAGUGAUGAGGAAAUAAUCAUCUGAUCUUUAUGAGAGUUCUGCAAGAUUCCAGAGAUGUCUGUCAGUACCUCUCCAUGAGCACUAGGAAGAUGUGGACACAUAUAUCUUCAUGGGGCAACACACUUCAACUAUAUUGGAAUAGUAAUGUGCUGUAAGAAUGACAAAUAUUGGGAAUUCAAUGAAACAUAGGAAGACUUCAUAAAGUGAUACAUAUUGAAGAAAGCAGGACCAUAGGAACAACCUACAUGAUGUCCUUUUGUAAAGCUUUAUAGCAGAUUAUAUAUGUAAAUGACAUAAUGUAAAUUUAAAUAAUGUAAUGUAAAUGAAUAAUGUCAUUUACAUAAUGCAAAUUUGUAAUUUUUUACAAACGGUUGUCUACAAAGGGUUGGUCUACAGAGGUAAAACUGAAUAUAUACUACCAGUUACCAUGUCAGUUGGCUUUGUUUAAAUAUUUUUCUUUGUUACAAGCAAGUUUUCAGUAGUGGUUAUGGGAGAGGGGCGGGGUUUGAGAGUGAGGAUGGGAGUGUUAAGAAAAAUCAGAGUUCAGUAAAGGCAGAAAGCAACAUUAAAGUUUUUGGAGGAUUUCUUUUAAAUUUUAAAGUCAGUAUUCCUGAACUGUUAAAAUACAUACACAUACAGGCAGGCAGUUUACUGUUCAAAAAUUAUGACCCCUAUAUUUAGACUGUUUCUGAGAAAUCCAAAAUAUCAUUUGUUCCUCUUUUUGAAUCUAAAUAAGGUCGAUUCCCUUCUCUUCCCCCAUUCUUCCUGUCCUACUUCACUAACCUCAAAUUCAACAGGUCAACAAAAAGGUACCUUAAAGGCCAGGGAUUCAUUAGUCAUGGAAGAGUUUUAAGUUGCAAUGAUUUAUUUUUUUUCCAGUCAAGAAACCCUUUUUGUUGUUAUUUUGCCCCAGGAAUUUCCAGUACAUUUUUUAAUUCAGUCUGGUCAGAAAAUAAAUGCAACUCAGAGUAUGGAGAUGCUUGGGGCCAACUUGAUCACAAAAUUCUCAGUUUACUGUUGGGGAACAGGCAGGGUUGAGACUGCUCUCUCAAAAUGUCCUGUCCAUAGGAGAGUAUUAUAUGAUUCUAAAGGGAAAAUUUAACACAUAACAUUUUGCCUAUUUUCCCUUACUUUGUAGGAAAUUGAAAGAGCAUAUCAAAUGAAAUGUCUGGAUUAUGCAAAACUAAUCAUCUAGGCUUCAGUAUCAUUGGAAACACGUGAGAACCAUGACUUCCAAAAUAUGGUUCUCUUAAUUUUCUCCCACAAUAGUCCACAGAGAUUUAAUAUCUUAAAUCACUGAUCCUGAUAAUGAAGGUUGGGUCUCAUUGGUCUCUGUGAUCACUAGCCUUUGUUAGUUUUGAAGUGGCCCAUAAUCUUGAUACACUCAGGUUUUGUUCAAGAAUAUGGAGGAGGUAGGAACAGCUAGGUGGCGCAGUGGAUGGAGCACCAGAUCUAUCAGGAGG